rnacentral:rRNA from 1 species
CAUCCUUUUGACCGAUGCCUAAUCGCAUCUUUCCCUUCGGGGACAGAAGUGACAGGUGGUGCAUGGUUGUCGUCAGCUCGUGUCGUGAGAUGUUGGGUUAAGUCCCGCAACGAGCGCAACCCUUGCCUUUAGUUGCCAGCAUUAAGUUGGGCACUCUAGAGGGACUGCCAGGGAUAACCUGGAGGAAGGUGGGGAUGACGUCAAAUCAUCAUGCCCCUUAUGCUUAGGGCUACACACGUGCUACAAUGGGUGGUACAGAGGGCAGCCAAGUCGUGAGGCGGAGCUAAUCCCUUAAAGCCAUUCUCAGUUCGGAUUGUAGGCUGAAACUCGCCUACAUGAAGCUGGAGUUACUAGUAAUCGCAGAUCAGAAUGCUGCGGUGAAUACGUUCCCGGGUCUUGUACACACCG